AAAGUUCAGUUUACAUAAGUCAAAUGAGUGAUAGGUUUAGACAAAUAUAUACAUAAGCAAAGAGGAUAAACACAUACAAUUUUCACUUAAACCAGAAAAUCAAUAUUUACAUUUCAAAAGUUGCUUUUCUGAUUUGAAGCUUUUAGGUUGACAAGCUACAACCGCACACCUUAAUCCAACUCUUCCAUUGUUUCUCACACAGCACCUGAAGAUGUAGGGGUGAGCGUCACUUACAAUCAUUUGCCCCCCCCCUCGGGAGGCACCCUAGCUAGGUUUGAAAAUAGAUAUACCUUUGUACUACAUAUAAAGGAAAUAAUUUGCACAACAAAAUGCUUUGGCAUGAGUUAAAAUUUAUUUCAUGCUUAUAAUUAACUAUAGUGGGAUUCCUGCAUUCUAUUUGUCCUAACAACCAAACACGCGGCCAACUAUCGUACCUAAAAUAAAUUCUCAAGUAAUAACAACACAAGGUAGGGUAGUGAGAGUGUCCACUUACAACCUAUACCACAUAGACAUAAGUACCCUCCCCUUACGGUUAAUGGUACGAGUCCGUUUGUAUAGGACCCUCCGGAUGUUUAGGGGAUCAAAGCCCAGGGUAGUCACACAACCCCCUUCAUUCUCAGGUCAUCAUUACAAUUUAGAAUGACAUAAAUCACAUGCUAGAAAAAUCAAACUCCUUUCCCUAACAUGCAGUUCUAACACAACAACAAAAUUCAAUGCAUAGCUUGCACGCAUCCACAUUUACAUACAUAAUACAUACCGAAAACCACUAACCAGGGUGUGAGUCCCCCCUACCUGAUUUUCCAAGCUUUAGGUACUAACUAUUUCACAAUUGUUCACUCUUAUCUCUUGAUCUUGCUUAAGCCAAGAAAGUACCUAAUCUGAAAAAGAACAUAUCAAUAUAUAGUUCACAUGCACCAACAUAAGCUAACAUGUCUCAAUUCCAUCUGCAUAGUGCAUGUAUAUCCCCAAAAUAACCAAAUCCAUAUUUAAUCACAUGAAUUGCAGUUUAAUCAACCUUUCCAUGAAAUCCAUUCAGGAGCCAUAUAUCAAAUGCCAUCCAACAAGCACCACACAAUUGAAUUCUAUAACUCCAAAUCAAGUAAAAUUUUACCUUAAUCUUUUUUAGUAAUACUGUUCGACCAUCCUUGAGACUUCCAAAACUUUCAAUUCAACCAUAUAACACUUCAAACAUGAAUUUUUUCAAAGUUAUUAACAUGAAAUCCCCAACCAAAAUAUAAUUUCGAAUCUGUAAAUAAGCUUUGAAUUCUUACCUUCAUCCAUAGUGCUCGACGUUGUGAUCAUAGAGGCGAAAACGGACUAUAGUUCUGAUGUCUAGAAAUUAACUUAUGCAUUUUUUUCUUUCUUCGACACCUAAAGAGAACCCAUGGCUGUUUCUUCCCUUCUACCCAUUUUGGAAACAGUGCACCGAACACCAAAAGAUGAAGGACCAUCUUACACACACGUGUUCUCCAUUCCUUUUGUGUUUUUUUUUUAUUUACAAACACUCACUUUAACCCAAACAAACCUUUUCAAGCUCCAGAAAACUAAAUAUAUAUUUUUGGGGUUUUACACUCAAUAAAGGUGCUCUCACCGCCCGAAGGUAAAUUCGUAAAUCUCCUCAAUAUUGUACUCUCUCUAGGGGUAUCAUAGUCGCCCAAAGGCAGUACAUGUCUAUCACCAGAAGGUAAAGCUGUACGACACUGGGGUACGCCAGUGAAGAAACAUGGUAAGCCCCAUCACCCGAAGGUGAAGUUGUACGACUACGAGUUAUGCCUGAGAAGAAAAUAUAUACAUCACACACCGACACUAGCCGUGACUAGUGAAGUUGUCCGACACUGCUUUUGGCAGUAAAGCUAGGGGUAUGGCAUAAAUAUCAUCAACUCCUUAUCUGUCCGAAGGCAGUACAUGUCCAUCACCCGAAGGUGAAGCUGUACGACACUGGGUUACGCCAGUGAAGAUACAUGGUAGGCCUUAUCACUCAAAGGUGAAGCUGUACGACUCCAAGUUAUGCCAGAGAAGGAACAUAUAGAUAAAUAUCCUCAACUGUGUCCUAUGGUCAUAGACGUCUGCAUACUCGUAUUGUGUGGAUGUGUUGUAUGAUAACCCGCUAGAUAAGUACUGAAAACAUAUCUCAAAAUCUCAUAUCAAAUCUGAAGCUCAAAAACUCAAAGUCUCAUUUCAAUAAUCCAUAAUAAAGCAUAUCCACAAAUCCAUCGAAUUUCAUAUGCGAAAAUCCCUUAUUUCAUAACCUUUAAUAAAACAUAAAUUCAAUAAAUCAUAAAUAUUUUGUAAAGCAAUUUAAAUAAAUAAUAGUAUAUAAAUCCAUAAAACAUAAAUAUAGAAAUCCGUAAAAACAUAUUAUCAAUCAUGCUCCAUUCAUGAAAUAUGCCAUGCAUGCAAGCCUAAUAUUUUAUAAAAAAACAUGCAAGUUUAGAAGGAAUAAAUAUCUCAAUGAGAGGAAUAUCUAAGAAGGGACCUCGGGUUUCCCCGUACGCCCCACCACACAAGUCGCCAUGAGGCGACACCUGAAAGACCAUGCAUCGCUGCACGUGGCGGCCGACAGCCCCAACUCAUCGGAAAAUUCAACAACUCCAAAAAUUUCCAAAUUUUACAGGAAUAAAUAUCUCAAUGAGAGGAACAAUUUGCAUACUUAAGCUGAAGUCCAAUUCGGUUGGGAAACACCUCAAAUCACCCUCGAUCUGUUGGAAACCCUUGAAAUGGGUGGUUGUCGAUUCAUCCUCUCCAAUGCUUCACGCAUCAACCAAGUAUUGGGAUUUGUUCCUGGGUUCAUGAGGAGUCGAACCAUGGUGGUGGUCGACGGUGGUGGUUGCAGAGAUGGAUGAUCGCCACCGCAGGUGCCCUCAAAAUCUUCGACACGAGAUCCACGAAUCUAAGCCCAAAAUCCAUCGAUUAAUCGAUGAAAUGGAAGAGGGGAGGUCGUGGAAUGUGUUAUAGAUG
rnacentral:lncRNA from 1 species